rnacentral:rRNA from 1 species
CCGCGUGUGUGAAGAAGGCCUUCGGGUUGUAAAGCACUUUGAUCUGGGAAGAAAAAGCCUUGGCUAACAUCCAAUGCCUUGACGGUACCAGAGGAACAAGCACCGGCUAACUCUGUGCCAGCAGCCGCGGUAAUACAGAGGGUGCUAGCGUUAAUCGGAUUUACUGGGCGUAAAGCGUGUGUAGGCGGUUCGCUAAGUCGGAUGUGAAAGCCCUGGGCUCAACCUGGGAAUUGCAUUCGAUACUGGCGAGCUAGAGUACGGUAGAGGGCGGCGGAAUUCCGGGUGUAGCGGUGAAAUGCGUAGAUAUCCGGAGGAACACCGAUGGCGAAGGCAACCGCCUGGGCCUGUACUGACGCUGAGACACGAAAGCGUGGGGAGCAAACAGGAUUAGAUACCCUGGUAGUCCACGCCGUAAACGAUGAGAACUUGACGUCGGUUUGCUCUGCGAAUCGGUGUCGUAGCUAACGCGAUAAGUUCUCCGCCUGGGGAGUACGGCCGCAAGGUUG